UCCUUUGGAUCCAAAUGUAGGGAAAUA
rnacentral:sRNA from 1 species